rnacentral:rRNA from 1 species
CACGGGGUUGCGAGCGUUGUCCGGAAUUACUGGGCGUAAAGGGCGCGUAGGCGGAUAUUUAAGUCAGAUGUGAAAACUCCGGGCUCAACUUGGAGAUUGCAUUUGAAACUGGGUAUCUUGAGGACAGGAGAGGAAAGCGGAAUUCCUAGUGUAGCUGUGAAAUGCGUAGAUAUUAGGAUGAACACCAGUGGCGAAGGCGGCUUUCUGGACUGUAACUGACGCUGAGGCGCGAAAGCGUGGGUAGCAAACAGGAUUAGAUACCCGUGUA